rnacentral:piRNA from 1 species
UCCUCAAGACCAGAGCCUUCCCUCGUG